rnacentral:rRNA from 1 species
AUUGAACGCUGGCGGCAGGCUUAACACAUGCAAGUCGAGCGGAGAUGAGGUGCUUGCACCUUAUCUUAGCGGCGGACGGGUGAGUAAUGCUUAGGAAUCUGCCUAUUAGUGGGGGACAACAUUCCGAAAGGAAUGCUAAUACCGCAUACGCCCUACGGGGGAAAGCAGGGGAUCUUCGGACCUUGCGCUAAUAGAUGAGCCUAAGUCGGAUUAGCUAGUUGGUGGGGGAAAGGCCUACCAAGGCGACGAUCUGUAGCGGGGCUGAGAGGAUGAUCCGCCACGCUGGUACUGAGACACGGCCCGGACUCCAGCGGGAGGCAGCGGUGGGGAAUAUUGGACAAUGGGCGCAAGCCUGAUCCAGCCAUGCCGCGUGUGUGAAGAAGGCCUUAUGGUUGUAAAGCACUUUAAGCGAGGAGGAGGCUACUUUAGUUAAUACCUAGAGAUAGUGGACGUUACUCGCAGAAUAAGCACCGGCUAACUCUGUGCCAGCCGCCGCCGUAAUAC